CAGCUCCGGGGAAAAUGUUCUUUGUGGGAGACAAAGAAAACAAUCAGAUUUUCUGCUGCCAGGGGUGAAAAAGUGCCGUGUCAGCCUGUUUUCCUGCUCCGCAAGCUUCCCCUGUUGCCCAGUGAGGAAGUGGCCGGUCACACUGGGAGUUAUGGCAGUUAUGUCAAAGUUUAGCCUGCGAUACAUGCGGCCAGCUGGUGGUGUGUGUAUGUGUGUCAGGAAGAAAAGAGCCAAUUCGCUCAUUUUGUGAUGCAUUUUCUAGGAGUUGAGUGGUUAAUUUUGGCGUAUCGAUUUUUGGAUUUACUGUUUAUUUUUUUUUGCAGCUGCCCUGUGUGAAUGAAUUGACUGGCACUAAAUAGAUUUUGUUUUGUACCUUCCUUAGGGGUGCAGCACUGCAGUGCUGAAAGCUAUUGUCAAGUGCCAAUCACAGCACAAUGGUAGUAAUAAUUGUUGGACAGACGAAUGUGGUCCUGGUUACUGUCUUGAGCGUUUCACUGUUUUUCGGAGGUGUCUGUUUUGCUGAUGUCAUCGCUCUGAGAUGUGACAGCUGGACUUUUCUGGUCGAGAAGUUAACUGGAGCUCCAUCUAUACCUGCCCCAGAAACUGGAGCUGAAAAUAUGUAACUUGUGUUGAUGCUAGUCUUCUGCAUGUUUUCGGGAAGUUCAGUGUUUCCAGUUGCAGAGCUGGAAACCAGGGCUGAAUGCGAGUGCUAUAGCGCCUCAGUGUCCUCCGUCUCCCUUGCGUGUACCGAACCUCAAAGGCUUCAGUUUAACCAGAUCCUGCGCCAGACCAUUCGACCGCGCUGAACUUGGGCUAGUCACUGUGGGUACGUAAAAAUUACACGGAAUGUCAUCUGAGCCAAAUACAAUAUGUUCAGUCUUCAAACCACUAAUUACCUUUGUCCUUUUUAAACCAAACGACCUCUGCUUUUUCAGCUCUUUCGUUCCUCCAUGCAAACUGCAGACCCAAGGCAUGGUCUUCAGACGCGAGUCAAUCACACCAAUCCAUUGCAGUGAAUUUGUUGCCAUUAAAAUGAUAUUUCAGCCUCUUCCUGUAAGACUUCCAUUGGAUAGCAGUGAAAAAGGCGACCGCCUCGAUCCAACACACUUAUGUGUGAGAACCACCUUUCCUGGGGGGAGACAGGGAUCAGAGGGUAUGGGGUCUACGAAACUCAAACCCAGACAUACUCAAAAACCAAAAGUACUCAAACAUACACAUGUUUCUGAGCACGAGAGAAAAGUGGAGGAAAGCAAUAUGGAUAAUCCCAAUCAUCACCCUGAUAUGGCCAACGACUGGAAACUUGGCAGCUGUGCCACUGUAUUAUGGAAAGAUACUCCUGUAGCAUUUGUAUCUGUGAUCAUGCCAAAACCAAUGUUCAACAGCAGUGUGAGGCAGAUAGCGACGUGAGGCAGAUAGCGACGUGAGGCAGGUAGCGACGUGAGGCAGGUAGCGACUUGAGGCAGGUAGCCACGUGAGGCAGGUAGCGACUUGAGGCUGGUAGCGACGUGAGGCAGAUAGCGACGUGAGGCAGGUAGCGACGUGAGGCAGGUAGCCACGUGAGGCAGGUAGCGACAUGAGGCAGGUAGCGACGUGAGGCAGAUAGCGACGUGAGGCAGGUAGCCACGUGAGGCAGGUAGCAACUUGAGGCAGGUAGCCACGUGAGGCAGGUAGCGACUUGAGGCAGGUAGCCACGUGAGGCAGGUAGCCACGUGAGGCAGGUAGCCACGUGAGGCAGAUAGCGACGUGAGGCAGGUAGCCACGUGAGGCAGGUAGCGACUUGAGGCAGAUAGUGACGUGAGGCAGGUAGCGACGUGAGGCAGUUAGCAAUGCGCUUGCAUAAGUGCUUAUUCACAACAUGGAUUUAAUCAGGCAGCCUCCUCCAUAGACUUUAGCCUUUCGCCCUUAAUGAGACAGGCGGAAGACAUGAAAAGCAAGAUUCCCCCCACACCAUCAGGGAGUUAUGUGUAAAGAAUGAUUAUGCCAGUCAUGGGGGGCUUGACCCGAAAAGUUCCAGGAAAUAUCCUGCUGUUAAUAUCCAGAGUAGAUAAUAAACCGCUUUGGAUGAACAUGUAAGAUAAACAGAUACGUGAUAAUAAAAUUUCAGCUCCGUUACAUCUACUGUACUAUGGUAUUUGAGCUGGCCUUAGUGCCUGGGGUAAUUAAUUUUAUCAUGCAGUCAAAAGAACAACACUUGUUGUGAAAGGCAGAAGAUGUAGUGUGCUAUUAUUCUGAUUUAUUGGUUGGAGCGGUUAAUGCUGUCCAAACGCGUUGUCUAAGUACGGUUUGCUUUGGCCCAGUGCAGUGUUGGCUCCCUGAUUUAUACCCAGCCUUCAAACUGGCAGUGAGCUGAGCUCCAUGUCUGCCGGUGCCUGUCUCACUAGCGCCGCCCUGCUGGCCUCCGACAUGUUGCGCUUGGCAGCUCGUCACCUCGCCGCGGUUGCCACUGGUACUGGCUAGCAUUGCCGUUCUUAAACGCUGGCCGGGCCCCUUCUGCCCUGGCCCAGUCAUUAUAAAGGGGCAGCAGUCUUAUACGCAGGAGACAGUGAUAAAUCAGAUCCUGGGGGUUUCGCCAUAUGUCCGUGCUGGCCUGGUAAUAAAGCCAAGCAGAGCGUUAUCUCUGCUGGCAUGAUUUCACAUACUGCAGGCCGCCUCUAAGCUUCUAGACACAUAAAAUACUGAUAAGUCGGCUUAUGAUGUAUGAUCAUGCAUACAUAGCUGUGUUCUUGUAUUCUAGUAUUUUUCUGUAUUCAGUGCAAUAUUUUUUUUCCCUUGCGGAAAUUCAUCUGCAUUACUACAGGCAUGUAACCCAUAAUCACAAAACUCUCAAAAAUAAUGUCACCCGUGUAAUUAUAUUCCUCAAAAUAUGAAGGGACAGCCUGAAAUAGUGAAGAAUCUCCCAGAUUUAAACUGGCUUCCGCUGUCAAACAGUAAGUUGUGUUUAUUGUUUAUUUGUCAGACAUGGUUUGGAAAAUGUCAGACGUGGGUUCUCAGUUCCUGCUUGAUGCUGUGGUCGACGUCUGGGCUUAGUGAAGUCCUCAAUCCAUUCCACCGUCUCCUGUUAGGUCCCGGAGUUCCAGUCAGUGCUCACUGCUCUACAUUAAAUCAAUCGAAUGCUUCUAACGAUUUGCUGCAUCGGGCUCACAGCAAAUUCUGUGGUUGCCCCGUGGCUCUCGUGAUGGCCCACAGAUGUCCAGCUGUGGAUUCUCCGUGUUGGUACUGGCUGGAUGGGCUGUGUUAGUUUGGACCUGUCUCCCUCCUGCCGUGAUCUUUCUUUUUUUGAGUUUACUAUGUGGCAACCACCCUCCCAUUCCUGACCCAGACUUCUUAAUAAUCAUAGAUACUUGGUCCCUGGUAGGGAGUGCUCCCUAUGCCUUCCUCACCUUGCUCUCUGUAGGUGAGAGCAAGCUGGCACGGAAGGGCAAUCACCUCUUGCUGCAGAGAGCUGGGGGCUAAGGGCUUUGCUCGAGGACCUCCAGAUGUGCCAAGGCUAAGCUUGAACUGGUGACCUUCUGCUCCCAGGCACGGGGGCUUUCACCACUGAACCACAUGUUGCCGGCCACGUUUGCUGAAGAAUUAAUGGGUGGAAUAGGAACCUGAUUUUUUCUGGAGGGGAAAUGCGUCUCCUUAAAUGGAGUCAACUGGGAUAAGUAUCACCAAUCAGGUCCAGACUUCCCUAAUGGGAUUUUCAUGGUAUUUUCACUGGUCACUGUUGCCUGGUCCUCAGUACCCAUGCUGCAGUGGUUUGAAAAUCGAGGGUAAUGCUAGUUGCAUGGCCUUGCCUAACACUCCAUUUUGGUGCAGUACGGCUGUACAGUAACUGUUCAGUGAUACAGUGACAAUAUACAGGACCCAAGCUGUAAAAUUGCACUGUGCAACUGUGAACAAUCCUGACAUGUCUUCCGGAAGGACAACAACCGGAACAGCCCUAUCGGUGAACAAACAGUUCUUGAAUGAUGAAGGGAAUGGAUUCUGUGUUUCACUCGUAGAGUCUAGUAUGGAUGAGUGGCUGAUAGUGGGUUUACAGGUUCAGUGGUGAUAAAGCGAUAGCCAGUGAACAAUGAUGAUGGUGCAAACAAUAAAAGUAAAUACAGGCAUACAAAACAGACAUAGAAAAGGAAUCUCCACUAUCUUAUGCAAACACUGAAUCUCCUCUUCUCUCUCAUAUCCUCCUUCCAAUUUCCCUCUUCCUGGUACAACACCUUUUUUUAAAUGUAGUCUAAGGUCCACACCUGAGCACACCCCCCCCAUGUUUACAGGAGGGCACAAUACACCAGGGGGCUCAGUGGUGACCCUCAGUUUUUCAGGCUUAAUUUUUUUGGUGUCACAUGCACCCAAACUGACCCCCUGCAAAUUUCCCAAAUGUGAGAAUCUCAACUGCAUCAUUCCUGGAAGUGGGGGGCUUGGAAAGGUUUUUUUGGGGGGGGGCACUAUAUGGCUCAGUGGGUGCCGGAUAAAUGACUGACCCUGCGCUCAGACCUCGAGCUUUGCACUCGACAGUAUGUGUGUGUGUGUGUGUCUCACAAAGGAUAAAUGCAGAAGGAAGCAUUCCAGUGUACCAGAAUUUAUGUAAAUAGGAAAUGAAAGAAGACCCCAUGUUAAUUAGGAUGUCAUUUAACGAGUUAUGGGAUUGGAAAAGUUCCUUAAAAUGGUGACCUUUUACGUACAGCACGACGGCAGCUAGCAUAGUUGUCAGUGAUACAGACUCAUAAAAAAUGAACAUUGGCAUUUAGAGUCCCAGCAGAAGUUAGUAUCACGUUACCAUGCACAGUUCUAUGUGAUUUUUCUCAUGUGGGAUUAAAUAAAGCAUAUCUGGUAGAGCAGCCUGCGGUAUUUGCGGUAAAGACACAUUAGCGAUAGCUGAAUGCCAGGCCACAGUGCGCCGCCUCGGUUAAACAUGUCCCUGUUCGCUCUGGGGGCUACAUUCCAUCAGCAUCAGAGAGACAUCUGUCUGUCUGUCUGUCUGUAAGUCUGUACGCCCUGGCACCGUUAGCCCCCCCCGGGAUAACCUGACGUGUGGCGUGUACUCAGACACCCCCACUGCGUUGGCCCCACCAUAUUUCAUUAACCGUUACAGUGAAAAAUCUGAGACUUAUGGAAAAAGAAUCGCUUGCCAUGGUGGGCUCAGCUAUGUUUCUGUUCUCUCGGUGUGGUUUUGCUUGCAAAGCUGUUCGUGUAGCCAGAAAUACUUCUAUUCGAUAAUGGUAUCUGUGUACAGGACUGGAGUUUGACACCCCUGGUACAAACCAUUGUUUCCUGGUUUGAGAGAGUAGUUGCAAAAUGAUUCCAUUCUCAGCAGCCAUUUCUCCCUAAUCCCCGGGCCUGUGCGGUUAAGGCAUGACCAGGCUACGCUCUUUGUGCCGCUGCUAACUCUUUGGUACGUCAUGUUCCCACCCCUUGCCCCUUGUUUGAUAUUCCUCCGACCAUUAGGGGGCAUCGGCGAUCUGUGUCACGCACAUGGACUGGCAGGCAUUUCUUUCAGGCUCAAGGAUAGUAGAUUUCUCUUUUUUGGGAACUUUAUUCAUGCUGACUGUGUACUGUGUGACGCCUUUACGUUUAAAAUUAUAAUGGAGGACUGGCUGCAUUCUGUGUUUGGCUUAUUUUAUUUACCCAGCUGGACUGAAAGGAGAGAGUUUUUAAUUCAAAAACACCAGAGGAGAGGAUGUUAGUGGGUGUAUCAGCAGCCGGGGUUAGCAAGGACUUUGGAGUCCUGCGCUGACAGGUCUUACAGAACAGCGAUACCACUCAGGAGGAUCCACAUGUGUGGUUGUCAGCAAACAGGGAGGGUUUAAGGAAACUCUAGUAAGAACAGUCGCAGAAUGAGUAACGAGCAAAGAAACCUUGCGGAAAUGUACCGUCUGAACCCCCAAGUUCAGGAUGGAUCACUGCUUUGCCCGGCACUGCCUCUUCACCAUCAGAGUGGCUGUAUUCUGCAGCUUCAGGGGUCACUAUUGAUUACAUAAACAGUUGAGCAAUCUGACAGUUCAUCUAGUAAUCGCUUACGUACAAUAUAAUAAGUGCGAGGAAAGAAACGACGAACUGUCACAGGAUGCCCGCUCAGUGACACGUACGGUUAGUUUACGCACUGCAAUUCACUGAAGUAGCGCAGUGUUGGAGAGUGGAAGGAAACUGGAGGAUCUGCCAGAAAGCCAGACACACACAGGGGCAGCAUGCAAACUCCACACACGGAGAGCACUGGUGUGUGGCGACAGCGAGAUCCAUCGUGCCGACCCCAGCGUGCAGGAUGUGUGAUGUGGAAAGAAGGA